rfam:Tersicoccus sp. Bi-70 scaffold7_cov1214_read202, whole genome shotgun sequence.
UGCGGUCCUCGGUAGUGAUCUCCGGGCGCCUCGUCCUCUGCGACGCGGAACCGCCCCGGGGAUCUCGAUCGAAGACCGGU